AAAUUGAAGAGUUUGAUCAUGGCUCAGAUUGAACGCUGGCGGCAGGCCUAACACAUGCAAGUCGAACGGUAGCACAGAGAGCUUGCUCUUGGGUGACGAGUGGCGGACGGGUGAGUAAUGUCUGGGAAACUGCCCGAUGGAGGGGGAUAACUACUGGAAACGGUAGCUAAUACCGCAUAACGUCUUCGGACCAAAGUGGGGGACCUUCGGGCCUCACACCAUCGGAUGUGCCCAGAUGGGAUUAGCUAGUAGGUGGGGUAAUGGCUCACCUAGGCGACGAUCCCUAGCUGGUCUGAGAGGAUGACCAGCCACACUGGAACUGAGACACGGUCCAGACUCCUACGGGAGGCAGCAGUGGGGAAUAUUGCACAAUGGGCGCAAGCCUGAUGCAGCCAUGCCGCGUGUAUGAAGAAGGCCUUCGGGUUGUAAAGUACUUUCAGCGGGGAGGAAGGCG
rnacentral:rRNA from 1 species